UCCCCGGUGGUCCAGGGGCCAAGACUCUGCACUUCCAACGCAGGGGGGCUGGGUUCGAUCCCUGGUUGGGGAA
rnacentral:tRNA from 1 species